AUGACCGAUACCUAGGAGUGAGUUAGACUGGUAUCUAAUUGAUAGGUACGGUCUUGAAAUUGCUGUAAUAAUUUGAGAUUUUUAAAAAUGCAUCUCCUUACAAUUUCAUGGGCUGUUUCUCAUGGUGGGUUAGGUGAUGCACGUUUUUAUUUUGACGGGAACAUUGGACCAUACAAUGCACAACCUAUUGUACUGCUGUUAAGUUGAUGCUGUUUUUUUGCUGUGACCUGUCUUUUUUAAGGCUGUAAAGCCGAACUGCUGUAAGUAAACACAGGUCAGUCUGAGUGUAAUUUGUGCUGAUGAAAAUUGCCAAGUGCUAAUAACCAGAUCAAAAUACUUGUCUUGUGAAAAUCGUAACCUUUUUCAAGUGUUACAGAUGCAGCCAAACACAAGACUUAUAGUGGAGUAUGAGAGCUAGGGGUAUUCCAUAGUUAGGGUAGUGGAAUAUGAAGUAGGGGUAUUCUAUUAGUGUAGCAGUGCAUCUUUUAGUGAGUGAAGAACCUGAGUGGUCUCAGGUCCAAUGUGAAAUAACAAUAUAAACAAUAUGAUCUAUAGCUGUCAGCCACAAAAAUUGGGAGAAAUCAGAUAAGUAAAAUCUGUAUUUUUUUUAGUCUGCACGUCAUUGCUUCUCACUCUUGGUACUGUGUGUGUGUGUGUGUUAAAGGACAUAGUAUUUGCACUCUGGACACAUUAGCAAUCAUAAUGUAGAGUAGGGAGGAUCAAGCAGCUGUGUUUGAGGGAAGUGGAACACAGCAGGAAAAAGGAUAAUGGAAAACUGAAAAGAAAGAAAGAGGAGGGGCAGUGGAAGGAUGCCUGAGGCAAGAGAGCAGAUCCUAAAAGAUAGACCUUCCCCCCCCCACCACCAAUCAUGAUGUGUGGUAGUUUCUGUGAGUUCUAUGAUUAUUUAAUAGCCUGUGUGGUUUUGUAAUUGGCUCCUGGUUCAAAUUCUCCUCUCACCAACAGAAGUUUCCUCCGCCAGUAAAUGCCUCGAUAAAAAGACUCUCCUUAAAUGGCCUCCACUCAUCCAGCUGCUAAUUGACUGACUGACUGCCAGCAUUAACUGGCCUUGGGCAGAGAGAGAGAGAGAGAGACUGCCAAGCUGCUACUAAGUGGGAGGAGCCCAGCUCAAUGCACUUCCUUUCUUUGGCUCGUAGGUUUAAUGGAGGCAAGUAGACCGCAACAUGUGCUAUGUACAAGCUGCUUUUACAUAGAACAAAGGGUGGUGAAAGUGAAGGGGUGAGACUUACUGAGCCUUUACUGGUUCCACCCAACUAGUUUACAAAGUGUGAUUUGCAGUUGUUGUCUGCACAACUUUUAAUGUAAGAUUAACUCCCAAUUGGGAAGAAUAAUUAACAUUAUAAAAAAAAAUU